CAGCAGCCGCGGUAAUACGGAGGAUCCAAGCGUUAUCCGGAAUCAUUGGGUUUAAAGGGUCCGUAGGUGGAUAAUUAAGUCAGAGGUGAAAUCCUGCAGCUCAACUGUAGAAUUGCCUUUGAUACUGGUUAUCUUGAGUUAUUAUGAAGUAGUUAGAAUAUGUAGUGUAGCGGUGAAAUGCAUAGAUAUUACAUAGAAUACCAAUUGCGAAGGCAGAUUACUAAUAAUCAACUGACACUGAUGGACGAAAGCGCGGGGAGCGAACAGGAUUAGAUACCCUGGUAGUCCACGCCGUAAACGAUGGAUACUAGCUGUUCGGACUUCGGUCUGAGUGGCUAAGCGAAAGUGAUAAGUAUCCCACCUGGGGAGUACGUUCGCAAGAAUGAAACUCAAAGGAAUUGACGGGGGCCCGCACAAGCGGUGGAGCAUGUGGUUUAAUUCGAUGAUACGCGAG
rnacentral:rRNA from 1 species